rnacentral:lncRNA from 1 species
AACAUUCCCAGGAUAACUGACUAUGGUGUGUGCACUGCAAUCUUCCCGAGCUCCGCUUUUGAAAACUGAGUUCUUGAAACCAAAACUGAAAACCGUAAGAACGAAGCUUAGUGAGCUCCCAUAAUCUACCACAUACCAUACAAUAACAUAUAAAGCACCUACUGGGCCUUGCCCACUGCAUCGGACCGAAGUCCGGACUAACUGGGGCCUUGCCCCCUGCAUCGGACCGAAGUCCGGAAACUGACUGGGACCUUGUCCCCUGCAUCGGACUGAAGUCCGGACUAACUGACUGGGACCUUGUCCCCUGCAUCGGACCGAAGUCCGGACUAACUGGGGCCUUGCCCCCUGCAUCGGACCGAAUUCCGGAAACUGACUGGGACCUUGUCCCCUGCAUCGGACCGAAGUCCGGACUAACUGACUGGGACCUUGUCCCCUGCAUCGGACCGAAGUCUGGACUAACUGGGGCCUUGCCCCCUGCAUCGGACCAAAGUCCAGAACUAACUAAACAUCACAUAACAUAAACAUAUCAACUAGCAUGAACACACAUAUACUGCAUACUGCAUCGGGCCGUAGCCCGGAACACAUAACACAUAAAUCCUGUCUGAGCCACGAAGGCAUCAAACAUACUAACUACUGCAUCAGAUCAAAAUCCGGAAACUACUGCUAGCUAAACGGGCCGGCAUUGUGGCCUUAGACCCGUUCCUACUGGAAGGAAACUCACCUCGUGAACUGGCUGCUGAGUGUAUGGCUCUGGAAGCUAUCUGCUGCUGCUCCAGUAUCUCCUCGGCUAUAAUUCCAUAAACAUACUCAAUC